UACGGAGGGUGCGAGCGUUAUUCGGAAUUAUUGGGCGUAAAGGGCGCGCAGGCGGCCCUUCAAGUCGGAUGUGAAAGCCCGGGGCUCAACCCCGGAAGAGCAUUCGAUACUGUGGGGCUUGAGUAUGGGAGAGGGAAGUGGAAUCCCUGGUGUAGAGGUGAAAUUCGUAGAUAUCAGGAGGAACACCGGUGGCGAAGGCGACUUCCUGGACCAAUACUGACGCUGAGGCGCGAAGGCGUGGGGAGCAAACAGGAUUAGAUACCCUGGUAGUCCACGCAGUAAACGGUGAUCACUAGGUGUAGCGGGUAUUGACCCCUGCUGUGCCGCAGCCAACGCAUUAAGUGAUCCGCCUGGGGAGUACGGCCGCAAGGUUAAA
rnacentral:rRNA from 1 species